AUUUAGCUGACGAGUCCCAAAUAGAACGAAACGCGUGUCCUGGAU
rnacentral:hammerhead_ribozyme from 1 species